ensembl:lncRNA
UUUUACAAUUUAGGUCAACAAACUUAGGCAAUAUUUUAACAUUGCUAAAUACGAAGCUGACAAGCAAAAUCAGGUUAAUAGUAUAUGAAAUAACAGCAGGAACAACAACAACAGCAAAAACAUGUAAGCCAAAAGAUAAUUCUAACAAUAAACCAACAGGCAGAGGUGCAGCUCUCUUCAGCGGGGUGAAAGUUGAAAGUGGAGUCAACUCAAAUUCUAGGAACCAGAGGUAGUAACUCAGCCUGACUUUACAAGUUGAAGAAGCAAUGGAUUCAAAUUCCCACAAGAUUCUCAGUUCUUGGACCCUAGCCUGCUGAAAAGGGUAGCUGGAGGCUGCCUGGACGUCUG